rnacentral:rRNA from 1 species
GAUGAACGCUGGCGGCAUGCCUAAUACAUGCAAGUCGAACGGAGUGAAGCCUUCGGGUUUCAUUCAGUGGCGAACGGGUGAGUAAUACGCAGGGAACCUGGCCAUGGCAGGGGGAUACACUCUGGAAACGGAGCAUAAGACCCCAUAGGCAGUAAGGCGGCAUCGCCUUACUGUUAAAGAAAGCUGCAAGGCUUUGGCGAUGGAUGGACCUGCGGUGCAUUAGCUUGUUGGUGAGGCAACGGCUUACCAAGGCGAUGAUGCAUAGCCGGCCUGAGAGGGCGGACGGCCACACUGGGACUGAGACACGGCCCAGACUCCUGCGGGAGGCAGCAGUAGGGAAUUUUCGUCAAUGGGCGCAAGCCUGAACGAGCAAUGCCGCGUGAGUGAGGAAGGUCUUCGGACUGUAAAGCUCUGUUGCCGGGGAAAAAGGGGAAAUGCAGGAAAUGGCAUUUCAUGGAUGGUACCCGGCCAGAAAGCCACGGCUAACUACGUGCCAGCAGCCGCCGUAAAC